rnacentral:rRNA from 1 species
CAGGCCUAACACAUGCAAGUCGAGCGGAUGAGGAGAGCUUGCUCUUCGAUUCAGCGGCGGACGGGUGAGUAAUGCCUAGGAAUCUGCCUGGUAGUGGGGGACAACGUUUCGAAAGGAACGCUAAUACCGCAUACGUCCUACGGGAGAAAGCAGGGGACCUUCGGGCCUUGCGCUAUCAGAUGAGCCUAGGUCGGAUUAGCUUGUUGGUGAGGUAAUGGCUCACCAAGGCGACGAUCCGUAACUGGUCUGAGAGGAUGAUCAGUCACACUGGAACUGAGACACGGUCCAGACUCCUACGGGAGGCAGCAGUGGGGAAUAUUGGACAAUGGGCGAAAGCCUGAUCCAGCCAUGCCGCGUGUGUGAAGAAGGUCUUCGGAUUGUAAAGCACUUUAAGUUGGGAGGAAGGGCAGUCAGCGAAUACCUGGUUGUUUUGACGUUACCGACAGAAUAAGCACCGGCUAACUCUGUGCCAGCAGCCGCGGUAAU